AACACCAGAAAGCUCUCUUCAAUUAACCCAAGUGCACUUGACAACCAUCUUCCCAAGGGCCUGUUCCAGCUUUUGAUAGAGUUAGAUUGUGAAAUCAUAGCUACGGAAAGGAGGAAUUAUAUGCUUGGAGAAGUGAAGCAGCAUAUAACAGAUUUUUCAGAUGGCCAUAAAAGGAGGAAAGAUGUUGCAAUAUGAGAGAAGAGAUGAUUCGAAGAGAAAGAAAUUAAAGUUUUCUUCUUCUUUUCCGGGAAGAUUAUCAUUGGUCCUCAAGUGAUCCAUAGGUUUUAGAAUGUGACUGGUGACACCAAU